AUUAAUAAAACACAGACCUGACCGGAGAGAGUUUUCCUCUUCUGAAGUCAGGUGACCAUCUGACCAUCACAGUGCCUCCAUGUGACUCCCUAAAACCCGAGAGACAAAACAUGGAGAAGAUUCUAGAGGUCAUCAAGAAGAUGAUGGAGCUGCUGACAGGAGAGGUUCCUAUAAGGUGUCAGGAGGUCUCUGUCUAUGUC